AUUAACGCUGGCGGCGUGCCUAAUACAUGCAAGUCGAGCGAACGGACGAGAAGCUUGCUUCUCUGAUGUUAGCGGCGGACGGGUGAGUAACACGUGGAUAACCUACCUAUAAGACUUGGAUAACUUCGGGAAACCGUAGCUAAUACCGGAUGAUAUUUUGAACCGCAUGGUUCAAAAGUGAAAGACGGUCUUGCUGUCACUUAUAUAUGGAUCCGCGCUGCAUUAGCUAGUUGGUAAGGUAACGGCUUACCAAGGCAACGAUGCAUAGCCGACCUGAGAGGGUGAUCGGCCACACUGGAACUGAGACACGGUCCAGACUCCUACGGGAGGCAGCAGUAGGGAAUCUUCCGCAAUGGGCGAAAGCCUGACGGAGCAACGCCGCGUGAGUGAUGAAGGUCUUCGGAUCGUAAAACUCUGUUAUUAGGGAAGAACAUAUGUGUAAGUAACUGUUCACAUCUUGACGGUACCUAAUCAGAAAGCCACGGCUAACUACGUG
rnacentral:rRNA from 1 species